rnacentral:rRNA from 1 species
AGCUGUAAACCUAGCCCUCAAAAAACAAUAACCCUCAAAUCCCAACUAAAUCAUUUACACUCUUUAGUAUAGGUGAUAAAAAAAGAAAUAAGCGCAACAGACAGAGUACCGUAAGGGAAAGAUGAAAUAGCUAUGAAAUAAACACCAAAGCACUAAAAAGCAGAGAUACAUCCUCGUACCUUUUGCAUCAUGGUCUAGCAAGAAACCUUAAGCAAAACGCAUUAAAGUUUAACCCCCCGAAACUAGACGAGCUACUCCGAGGCAGCUAUAAGAGCAAACCCAUCUCUGUGGCAAAAGAGUGGGAAGACCCCCGA